AUGAACGCUGGCGGCGUGCCUAAUACAUGCCAGUCGAGCGAACAGACGAGGAGCUUGCUCCUCUGACGUUAGCGGCGGACGGGUGAGUAACACGUGGAUAACCUACCUAUAAGACUGGGAUAACUUCGGGAAACCGGAGCUAAUACCGGAUAAUAUAUUGAACCGCAUGGUUCAAUAGUGAAAGACGGUUUUGCUGUCACUUAUAGAUGGAUCCGCGCCGCAUUAGCUAGUUGGUAAGGUAACGGCUUACCAAGGCAACGAUUCGUAGCCGACCUGAGAGGGCUAUCAGCCACACUGGAACUGAGACACGGUCCAGACUCCUACGGGAAGCAGCAGUAGGGAAUCUUCCGCAAUGGGCGAAAGCCUGACGGAGCAACGCCGCGUGAGUGAUGAAGGUCUUCGGAUCGUAAAACUCUGUUAUUAGGGAAGAACAAAUGUGUAAGUAACUAUGCACGUCUUGACGGUACCUAAUCAGAAAGCCACGGCUAACUACGUG
rnacentral:rRNA from 1 species